CUAUCCAGCCAGCGUGCAUGGUUAACUAGGAGCCACAGCAUUUUAGAAUUGGGAAGUGGUGCUCAAGUGUUCCAGACAAGAGCGAGAUAAAAUCCUGGCUUUCCACUCUAACUGCGUUGGGGGCUGACUGUGCUCUGUCCCUGCUUCCCUGUCAACCAAGGAAAGUUGCAUUUAUUUAUUUGAAGAGAGAGAGCAAGCGGAAGAAGGGCCAGAAGGAGAGAGAAUCUCAAGCAGUCUCCCUGCUGAGUACAAUGCUGGGCUUGAUCUCACGACCCUGAGAUUAUGACCUGAGCUGAAAUCAAGAGUUGGACACUUAACUGACUGAGCCACCCAGGUGCCCCUUGACAGAGAGAGAUUUUAAGAAUGAACGCCAUCAGACUUUCCUUGGAACAUCACAGGUGGACACUGUCCCAUUGACCACUACUACCUUGUGAUUUCAAUGAGAAAGCCAUGACUCCAACUCAUACCAAAAUAAAGGCAAAGGAUAACACUU